rnacentral:pre_miRNA from 1 species
UAAAUACUCCCUCCGUCUGAAAAUACUUGUCAUCAAAAUGGAUAAAAGAGAUGUAUCUAAAACUAAAAUAAGUCUAGAUACAUUUCCUUUUAUCCAUUUUGAUGAGAAGUAUUUUCGGACGGAGGGAGUAUUUU